CUUUCUGCAAGGUGCUGCAUGGUUGUCGUCAGCUCGUGCCGUGAGGUGUCGGGUUAAGUCCCAUAACGAGCGCAACCCUUAUCGUUAGUUGCCAUCUGGUAAUGCAGGGGACUCUAGCGAACUGCCACCGUAAGGUGAGAGGAAGGUGGGGAUGACGUCAAAUCAGCACGGCCCUUAUGUCCAGGGCUACACACGUGUUACAAUGGUCGGUACAGAGGGCAGCUACCUGGUGACAGGAUGCUAAUCUCGAAAACCGGUCUCAGUUCGGAUCGAAGUCUGCAACUCGACUUCGUGAAGCUGGAUUCGCUAGUAAUCGCGCAUCAGCUAUGGCGCGGUGAAUACGUUCCCGGGCCUU
rnacentral:rRNA from 1 species